CUUUCAUAUCUUUACACUUUCAUAACUCCCCUCACAGGGGACUGAGAAUGUUUGUUUUACUGCUGAAACUCGCCAAGUCAUGACGAAAAACAUGUCGAAAAACGGACGGCAGUAAAGGCUCAGUUAUGGUUCCACGUCGACGCAACGCAAGGACCAUGCCGUCGCUUCGACGCAGUCGUGAACCUGCGUUGGUUCCAAGGCGGGUCUUAGUGAGCGGACCAAUCACAGCCCUCGCUGCUGCGUUGCAUCGACGCAUGGUCACACAUUUUGGGAGGCGCUCGUUAGGCCCUUGGGGUGGACGCAAGGAGAAUGGGUCCGUACACCAACACGCGCUGUGUCGACGUGGAUCAUAACUAAGCCUUUAAGCACCUCACUGCCUUUAUUCUCCUAUGUGCUACAACAUAUUUUGUAUGUUUUAUUCUCAGAUUCACUUCAACCACCUGUUUGUACUCACAUUUCUAUGUUGUUUCUCUUUCUUCUGACAAAUGUACUUUAGUACAUUGUACUUCAGUAUAUUUGUACAACUUUACUUGGGUAGAUUUAGUACAAGAGUACUAAAGUACAUUUGUUACAAGAAAGAGAAUCAACAAUAUAUAGCUGUCGGUACAAUAAGGAUGUUCAUAGAAACAAGUGCUAAAAAAAAUGAAUGUACAUUGCAUAUUCCAUGAAAUAACACAGCUAAAAUGUUUUUUUUUAACCAGUUUGGUUUAUUUUAAAGAUAAGAGGGGAGGAGGAAUACUCAAGGCUCUGUUCAGGUGUGCCUCCAUUUUGAGGACCAAACUGAAUUUGGCGGGAAAUACAAAUCCCUGGAUUGCUUAAAAUAGCGGAUGUGCUUCAUCAUCCAUAACACUUUUCUGAACAUUUCAAACAAGUGACGUUGGCAGGGGAAGAAAAAUAACGUAACACAGUAACAAAUGUAGUUUGAAAAGGGAUGAAUUAGACUAAAUAAAUAUAACCGAUUCCAACCAAACGUCGGAGGGGAUGACAGUGUGAGGAAUUCAUGCGUCAAUCAUCACGGAAUUCUGUACAGGCGAUCCAACUCUGACAGAUGUCAAUCGUGGAAGUAGCACUUAUCCCAGCAUUUGAUUUGUGCUUAUCGUCACAACAUAGUUCACAUUGGCACCAGCACAACUUUACCUUUAAAAGUCGGUUUCGGUAACUAUCGUUAGAAUUGUUAAAACAUUUUAAAAAUCCUAGUGGUUAAGUCAGAAACUCAUAGAAACAUCUCACAGGCUGAAAAAUCGAUUUAUUUAAAAACAUCAUCAAAAUUCAUAUACUCACAUAUACUCAUCGGGAUACUCGGACCGACCGAGGAAGAAAAAUUGCCUUUUUACUCUGCGUUAAAAGCCCUAUCAUCUCGGUAUGGCGUGGUCUGUGUGUGGUCAUGGAUUUUAAGUCGUCUGUCAUUCUAAAGGCCCUCCGAUUAUUACUGGAGUACAUCGACCUCACGAAACUGCUGACGCACAUGUCCACGGAGAAACACAAUGCGCUCACGAGAUCCAGUUCCGUCGGACUGUGUCAUCAUCGCGAAUAAUGAUAUCACAAACGACAAUGACGUGAUGCGGUCUGUGUGAUGAGUUUGUCAUUCAUGGGAUAUGGCAGCUAGCCAACAACAGAGCUAACAACGGCGCACUGGUAGCUAGCUAACAACGGUGAACUGGUAUCUAGCUAGCCAACAGCAGCGCUAACAAUGGUGCACUGGUAGCUAGCUAUCAAACGGCUUGCUGCUAGCUUGCUAACAACAGCGGUAACCACAAAGGUGCACUGGUAGCUAGCAGCACGCCGUUGUUAGUCAUUCCUAGUGCUUACUAGCUUGCAAGGGAGUGAGCUAGCAAGCAACGGCUAUACUCCCAUUUGCCCCCAAAAAUACAGGAUUGGCUGAUACAUAGGUCGUAGCCGGGUGGAAUAUAUAACUUCUAUGCAUAAAUAAACGUGCUAACUUUUCUGUAUAAAAUGUGAUCUUUCGAAAUCGUUGGCACAUUGCACUGGAUCACAAAACGAGCGGGAAAACGAUUGCAUAUAGAACUGAGGACCUCUUGGAAACCAUUUUGGGCAGUGGGUCAUGAGAAAAACAAUAGUGGUUCAUGUGAGGUCAAAGGUCAAACGACCCCCUUCCCCCCAAAAUGGUGGAUCUCCAUCCUACACCACAAAAAGCCAUGUUGUUGGGUUAGGGUCUCGUAGUCCGGACCCUAACAAUGUGGCUAUUUUGUGGGGGGUUGGCAAUACAAGUCUCUUUUAUCUCAUCCACCGAGGCUGGGGGUGGGAUGCCGAAGAACACUAGGGAUGGACUUCCAUUGAGUUGUCCCGCCUUCACCCAGAAGAUACACCUUAGGGUCGGGGUGGGUGAUCAUGACGUCAUCGCCCGCUCGGAUGACGUGGGGGAUGGAGUGGAAUCGAGUUUGUCUCGGUUGACCAUGGUCGCACACAUAGCGCAGGCAAAACUGCAUAUCAUGUUGGGGG
ensembl:lncRNA